rnacentral:rRNA from 1 species
AACAACAGGGAAUUGCCUUAGUAACGGCGAGUGAAGCGGCAAAAGCUCAAAUUUGAAAUCUGGCACCUUCGGUGUCCGAGUUGUAAUUUGAAGAAGGUAACUUUGGCAGUUGGCUCUUGUCUUAUGUUCCUUGGAACAGGACGUCACAGAGGGUGAGAAUCCCGUGCGAUGAGAUGCCCAAUUCUAUGUAAAGUGCUUUCGAAGAGUCGAGUUGUUUGGGAAUGCAGCUCUAAGUGGGUGGUAAAUUCCAUCUAAAGCUAAAUAUUGGCGAGAGACCGAUAGCGAACAAGUACAGUGAUGGAAAGAUGAAAAGAACUUUGAAAAGAGAGUGAAAAAGUACGUGAAAUUGUUGAAAGGGAAGGGCUUGAGAUCAGACUUGGUAUUUGCGAUCCUUUCCUUCUUGGUUGGGUUCCUCGCAGUUACUGGGCCAGCAUCGGUUUGGAUGGUAGAAUAAUGACUAAGGAAUGUGGUCUACUUCGGGUGGAAUGUUCCUUUGGUUGAU